ensembl:lncRNA
CGAAGAGCCUCGGAGGCCUCGGACCCCCGCAGCGGGGCUCGCCAGGGUCCGCGGGCGGCGGCGCCGGGGAUUGUGGGAGCCGCCGGUGGAGAAGAAGCGUGGGCCUGCCUCUCUCGGCCCUCAGACCCGCCUCCUACCAGUGCCCCAACUCUUUCCGAAAAACCUCUCCGGGGGGUGCAGAGGAGCCAAAGCUCUCCGCCGGACCUGGAACGCGUUCCGACUCCAGAGCCUCAGCCAUUGAACUUCAGAUCUAAACUAAAGCCGUCCCCACAGAAAAGGCCUUCUUCAAUGAGCUGACGGUCUCCGAAAAGGUCUGGAGUUGGGAAACACUGAAUAUUUAACAACAAAGAAAAGGCCGGACGGCAAGAAUGCCUAGGGGAAAAAUCCAGGGGCUUUGCAGAAACAAUGCCUUAGUCCAGUCGUGUUGGCGUGAUCAGCCACAACCGGGAGGAAAAGGCGAAGCUGUCUGAAAUACUUAAGAGCCAACCUCUCGGAAUGGAAAAGUGCCACACAUCCUACAACUCUUAAGAGACUUGUCAACCUUCACACUUGCAAAGUCAAGACAAGGCUUUUCGGAGAAAAAUGCUGGGAGUGGGCGAAGGACGCUGGACGUGGAAGACAGAGUGGCUGGAGUUCAUCUUCACUCUCCUCCAGAGGUCUGUGACAGCAGGCGGAAGACUGGCAGUGUGGUAGGAGACACAACAGAAGCCAGGGCUGGUUCACCAGGUGCUGGUUCAUCACCAGGAGCUGGCUCGUGUGCCCGCGGACAAGAGAGGACCUGCAGGAUCCUAGUUUCCCGACCAGGGAUUGAACCUGGCUCACAGCAGUAAAAGCACCAUGUCCUAACCACUGGACCAGCAGGGAACUCUCCUGGCAUCAUCUUCAAGGUCUCUCUUUACAUGCAUGUGAAAUCCAUCUUCAAGGCUUAAAGCCUUGAUCUGCAAGAUGUCUACCAUC